CGUGAGUGGUUUCGGAUGCAGCUGAUCAAAGAGCCCUGAAACAGAGUCGUGAUGAUGAUGAUGAUGAUGGAGAGGAUGAAAGAGCGAGGAGAAGGAAGUGAUGCAAGCCGGGGGGGAUUUGGCUCGGGCAGAACGGGAGCGAGAGAAAGUAAAAGAGGACAACAGCUGCAAAAAAAAGUGAUGAAGGAAUCAGAGUGCAGAGAAAAACCCGACGUGGACUUUCACGCCGAUGAACAACGCAGAGCCGUGAAGAGCAUCAGCUUCCAAACUCAACACUGGCGACAGCACGACCCACACCCAGACGGUGCAACAUCGCUGGGAUUCAAACUCACAACCUUCAGGUGUUUCAUUUAAAUAGUGUCUGGUGUGUGUUUUGUGAGUGUUUGGAGAAAAAGCCUGUGAUUCCCACAAUACAAUGAAAAGAUUCUCUCAGAUUCUCAUCACGUUUUCUUACAACAAAUUACAACAUGAACCACAUGACAGGUUCUGUGCUCGGUUCCACACCACGGAACUGCCGGACGGAACGCCGCGUUAAUGAAUGUGGACACGUUUUACACCGGCGCUGUUCACCAAUCACUCCUCAGAGCAGGAGAGAAGAACUUCAGGAUGUGAGACUCGUCACUGAUCUGCAUCUGCUGCCUGUGAGCCACUUUUUAUCAUCACUGGCCUCCAAUUCACUCCAAAUAGAACUCGAAUAAACUCUCAAGUCUUUGAGAUGCAGCUUUUGCUGAAGUUGAAUAAAAAUCUCUGAGCCUGAGAGCUGAGAGCUAUGAGCUGCUUAAAUACUAAUGUUUCUUCUACUUUGUGACA